ACCCUCCACAGUGCUUGCUUUGAGUGAGUGGGUCUUGUUUUCUUUCUAUUCUUUCUUUUUCUUUUUUUGGUCAAUUGGGUCUUUUUUAGUGUUCAUAAAUACAGCUUCACUCUGGUGCUGCUUGCUCACAGAGCCAAAAACAUUGAUUGAUAGGAGGAGGAGAGAUGGGCAGCGGCGGCGGCACAACAGAUGAAAGGGUUUCAGUGCCGAUGGGCCUACUACCCGGAAUUAAAUUCUCUCCCACCGACGAGGAACUGCUUUCCUUUUACUUGAAGAAGAAAAUAGCGGGCGAGGACUCAGAAUUCAGCAACAUCAUCCCUGAAAUCAAUUUGAGAGAGCACGAGCCUCGUGAUCUGCCAACUGAGUUCUUCUUCAGCGAACCUGAUUACAUGUCCCCCAACGGCGAUAGUUGCUACAGGACCACGAAUCAGGGCUUUUAUAAAAGCACAGGCAAGCCUCGUGGGAUCGAGGAUGAACUAUCCAAAGCUGUGAUUGGCGAGAAGAGAUAUAUGCCUUUCUACGAAGGUCGUGCGCCCGAACACAAGCUGACCGAGUAUGUCCUGCAUCAGUUUUCUCUCACCAAAACUGAACUCGCCAAACUGGCUCCUAAUCGGGAGUUUGUUCUAAACCACCUAACAAUUAAGAAGGGUUCAACUAAGGCGCGUAACCCUAAACCCAAUUAUAAGAAGCGGAAGUAUGAUUCAAACUGCGAUAAAUUAGCUGAACAUGGUAUUCCUGGCUACAUCACCUCCAAUUAUAAAGAUGAUCAAGCUGCUGCUGCUGCUAAUAUGAUUCCAGAUCCUGAAGAGCAUCUCGCAGACGAAGAUGUUCUGCUUGGCAGUGAGAAUCGAAAUGAAUGCGCCGAGUCAGAGUCUGCAAAUGGUUCUCGUCUUAUAAACAAUAAUGAUAGUUCAACCCUUGCUGUUGGUUCACCUGGUGGCUGCUUCCCAUCUGGUUAUGGUAAUGUAGCUGCGUAUGAUCCUUUUCGUGAGGUUUCCUUUCAGCCAGAAGGAAAUCUGAUAUCACCCUUUCAUCCAUCUAGCCUACGGGAUAUUCCUCUGAGGUCACCAGUGCACACAGGACUACCGGGAGAUGUUGUGUGUGCCAAUAACUCUAUCCUUAUUGGCAUGCAAUUAUGAGUCGCAAUGUUCAGAUAAUCUGGAGUUUACGAUUCUUUUUCCCACAAAGUUCUUGAAUAAUUUCAUUGGUGACCAAGAUUAUUAUCCUGUGUAGAAACAACAUGCACUAUACUUACAGUGACUCUGAUCUACUAGAGCCAUUGGGAGGAGUGUAUGAUAGCUAUAGUGGAGUGAGAAGUGAGAAGAACACUGAAUUACUCCAUGGAUGGGUACUAGUUUUUUUCUGCAUUAGUACUGCAACAUAGAUAGUGAACCGCAACAUUUUAGUUAUAGGAGAACAUCAAUAGAGGCCUUGUAAACCACAAGAGGUCUUGGAAGGGUAGAACAUCACCCUUUUCUACUGGAGGAUUUGGAAACUUGUUGAUAGUUGUAGAACUUUAUGUCGGACAGGACAAACGACACAGGUUAAGUCUGUUCUUGUUCUUUCGGCCAUUGCUCAGCAUUCCCAAGUAUUGGAAACUUCAAACUUGUUAAGUGAACAUGAGAACCACCGGCAAGUGCUAAUGUUUGAGAUGCCAUCUGGAACUCUACUCUUCUCUGACGAGUCUGAAUUUAUUUUUUCUUAAAAAAAAGUCUUUUCUUAGAAGUAGUACUGUGGAGACCUCGUCUCUCCCAAUUGUCUUCAAAUAGUAUACUCUCUUACUCAUAGGACACACAUACCUCAAUAUCAACCAGCAUCCAUUCAUGUCCACACACGGGAGGUGCUCCGAGAAGAAUCCGACUGCAAAGCUGUAUCACAGGACAAGGUUAGGGAUGCUGCAGAGUAUUGUUUUGCUCUUCAUCUGCAAACCAAGUCCUGGAAGCAUACGGUUUGAAGCAGGCAACAAUAGGGUUCUUUCAUGUUCUUGGAAGCAUCUCCUUGAAACCAUUAAUCAAGUCCCCGAUAUUUUGGUAACAAGUUCUAGCUCUAGCCUUGAUACCCAGGCUUCCGUUCUAGCUCUAGCCUUAAUACCCAGGCUUCCGUUCUAGCUCUAGCCUUCAUACCCAGGCUUCCGUACUAGCUCUAGCCUUGAUACCCAGGCUUCCGUUCUAGCUCUAGCCUUGCUACCCAGGCUUCCGUUCUAGCUCUAGCCUUAAUGCUCAGGCUUUCAUUCUAGCCCUAGCCUUAAUACUCAGGCAUUUGUUCUAGCUCUAGCCUUAAUUCUCAGGCUUUUGUUCCCAAGUUUCUAGCUCCACCCUUGUACUCGGGCUUUCGUUCCGUCUAUUAUUCUUGAAGUGAUAUCAUACAUGAUCUGCUGCUACAUGGCUACUGGAGUCUCAAUAUACAAUACAAUAACCAGACGCUAAUCUGACGUCGUGGUUAAUCGUAUGGAAGUUUUGAGGUUCCAUCCUUAAUGGUAGUAGUUACAAUCAGUGUAAAACUGUAUGAUUAUGAUAGGCUUAAAACCUAUCUAUCACCUUCAGGUUGAAACACCCAAAUCCUACAAUCAAAAAUUGUAUUCUUGUAAAGUUUGUUUUUGUAAUUGGCCUGUAUCAACUGCUGCGGUCCCUUUGUGUACUGUAUCAUCAGUGUUAAUAUUGUGUAUUUAGAACCUUUCAGUGUUGAAUGUAAUUUUGUGUAUUAUAUUUCUCUUUUUCCAUAUUUCAACCCCUCAAUGUUUAAUA